GCCUGGGUGGCUCAGUGGUUGAGCGUCUGCCUUUGGUUCAGGUCAUGGUCCUGGGAUCGAGUCCCACAUCAGGCU
rnacentral:tRNA from 1 species